rnacentral:rRNA from 1 species
CCUACGGGAGGCAGCAGUGAGGAAUAUUGGUCAAUGGCCGUAAGACUGAACCAGCCAAGUCGCGUGAAGGAAGACGGCCCUACGGGUUGUAAACCUCUUUUAUCAGGGAGCAAGAUGCGUGUCGUGACCUGCUUUGAAAGUACCUCAUGACUAAGCAUCGGCUAACUCCGUGCCAGCAGCCGCGGUAAUACGGAAGGUCCGAGCGUUAUCCGGAUUUAUUGGGUUUAAAGGGUGCGCGGGCGGAGGACAACGUAAGCGGGAAAAUCCCGGGGCUAAACCCAGCACCGCCGUUGAAACUGUGUUCCUUGAGUGCGCGAAGGGUAGGCGGAAUGCGUGGUGGAGCGGUGAAAUGCAUAGAUAUCACGAAGAACUCCGAUCGCGAAGGCAGCCUACGGGAGCGCAACUGACGCUGAUGCACGAAAGCGUGGGUAUCGAACAGGAUUAGAUACCCUGGUAGUC